rnacentral:tRNA from 1 species
GGGCGGAUGGCGGAACUGGCAGACGCACAGGACUCAAAAUCCUGCGACCGAAAGGUCAUGAGGGUUCGACCCCCUCUCUGCCCACCA